UACGAAGGGGGCUAGCGUUGCUCGGAUUGACUGGGCGUAAAGGGCGCGUAGGCGGUUCGUACAGUCAGACGUGAAAUUCCUGGGCUCAACCUGGGGGCUGCGUUUGAUACGUGCGGACUUGAGUGCGGAAGAGGGUCGUGGAAUUCCCAGUGUAGAGGUGAAAUUCGUAGAUAUUGGGAAGAAUACCGGUGGCGAAGGCGGCGACCUGGUCCGAUACUGACGCUGAGGCGCGAAAGCGUGGGGAGCAAACAGG
rnacentral:rRNA from 1 species